CCUCACUCCUGCUCUCAGCAGAGAGAUGGGAGCGAUUUUUCUUCAUGGUUUGCAGACAAAUGUGGUGGACAGAAAAUUGAUGGCAACCUUUGGCAGCGAGAGACCUGGGGCCUAGGGAGUGGCCAUGCCUGCCCGGGCAAUGGGGAUCACAGGCAACCACUCCCCGCGGACCCCCGGCUCCCACCUGAAUCUAUUGUCCUGGGCAGAGGCAAGGGGGCAGCCCAGACUUGGGGAAGACGCAUUGAGGGGGCGUGGGAGGAGGGUAUGUGUGAGGUGGCCUGGGUUAGUGCUGACUGUGUGACCAGGGCAAAGUCAGGCCCUCUGUAGGCCUCAGUUUCCCCGCUGGUACAGUGAGUUGUCAAGGCCAGCAGAAUCUUGGGGAGGGAUGUAGGUGGGCUUUUUCCCAUAUCUCUUAUCUUUAGCUGUCUCGUAGGGUCUGGGAGAGUCAGGAAAAUGGACGUAACUCUGGCAGAAGUCUCAGGAGCCCCAAAGCUACACAUUUCCUGCUUCCAAAUUAUCCUUGAACCUAGAGGUUUGGGGAGCUUAGAAUCUUAGAACCUGGAAAGCUUGUUUUCCUAGAAACCCAGAUUCCUCAGCUCUGAAUGCAUUCAGUGUAACUCUCCACCCACACCCCAGGUGUGCAAGAAAUGUAGCUUCCUUUGUUUUUAAAUAAUGCAUCGAACUUGCAUUUCAAGCUCCGUUCUGCCAGGAUGGAAGAAACCCAGGCGGACCGGGCUUCCCUCUUUCAUGGGGCUGGAUGAUACUUGGGGGACUGCCACAGGUCAUGGGAGAGGAGAGGUGACUCCUCAGUUGUCUGCCUAUCAAGACAUGAUGCCCCUUCUGACCCUCAGUGGCUGGUCACCAUGGCAUGCAACUGUCCACAAGGCUGCUCUGGUCUUUUGAGUCUUUCUGAUGCUCCCACACCAUGCUGGGCACAGGGGUCUCUGCUGGGCCAUAUCAGACCUGUGGACCCAGACUGGGGCUCAGCCUGGAGUAGGGCACAGGCCACCGUUGCUCUCAAGUCUUCUAGAUGUGGCUGUGGAUUCUGACAUCACCCUCAGGCCUGGAGAUGGGGUAGGACUCCUUUCUCAGAGGCCUGCAGGUUCAAGGGCUCCGGGUUUCCCUUCGACUCCUUUCCUGAAACCCAGCUGAGGGGACUGCACUGGGGAUCCUAGGGGUGACUGGGAGCUGGGUCACAUCUGUUAGAGAAAAAAUUAUUCCCACCUGGUCAACGUGGCAAAACCCUGUCUCUACUAAAAAUUAGCUGGGUGUGGUGGCACAUGCCUGUAAUCCCAGCUACUUGGGAGGCUGAGGCUGGAGAAUCACUUGAACCUGGCAGGCAGAGGUUGCAGUGAGCCGAGAUUGUGCCACUGCAUUGCAGCCUGGGAGACAGAGCUAUCUAAACAAACAAACAAAAAACAAAACAAAACAACAAGAAAAACAGAAACAUUUAUUCAACGACACUUGUUGAAGAGUGGUAAGGUGGACUUUUUAUUCAGGACCAUGGCAACAGGGACCAUUGCAACGGGAAUUUGCGGUGGGGGAGAAAGAACGGGCUCAACUCCAAAUACAGCAUGGGCAAGUGGGAUUUAUGGCUAAGGAGCAGUGCAGGGGUCCAAGGAUGGAAAAUGACUGAGAGGAAGCAUCAGGGGUGAGGGAGAAUCUGACUCAACUGAUCUAACAGGAUUCUUGCUGAAGACAGGCCAGGGGGAUCAGGCAUAAUCUGGGCCGUGGUGGAGGGUGAACAGCCUGAUUAGAUAUGAAGGAUGAUCAGAUAUUGAGGAUAGGGGGUUCUUGCUAAACUGACUUAGGGUUCUUGCUAAAACUGGAUUUUGUAAGAAAGUAUGCAGAUGGGCUUAGCAGAGUUUCGGGAGCCUGACUAAAGUUUGGUCAAGUGAAGAAUCUCUGCUACUCUCUAGAGUUACUCUCAAAAAAAUAAAAAUAAAAAUAAAUAAAAAUAAACAUGAUGGG
rnacentral:lncRNA from 10 species